AAACUUUCAACAACGGAUCUCUUGGUUCUGGCAUCGAUGAAGAACGCAGCGAAAUGCGAUAAGUAAUGNGAAUUGCAGAAUUCAAGUGAAUCAUCGAAUCUUUGAACGCACAUUGCGCCGCCAGUAUUCUGGCGGGCAUGCCUGUCCGAGCGUCAUUU
rnacentral:rRNA from 1 species